GACGAACGCUGGCGGCGUGCCUAAUACAUGUAAGUAGAACGCUGAAGAGAGGAGCUUGCUCUUCUUGGAUGAGUUGCGAACGGGUGAGUAACGCGUAGGUAACCUGCCUUGUAGCGGGGGAUAACUAUUGGAAACGAUAGCUAAUACCGCAUAACAAUGGAUGACACAUGUCAUUUAUUUGAAAGGGGCAAUUGCUCCACUACAAGAUGGACCUGCGUUGUAUUAGCUAGUAGGUGAGGUAAUGGCUCACCUAGGCGACGAUACAUAGCCGACCUGAGAGGGUGAUCGGCCACACUGGGACUGAGACACGGCCCAGACUCCUACGGGAGGCAGCAGUAGGGAAUCCUCGGCAAUGGGGGCAACCCUGACCGAGCAACGCCGCGUGAGUGAAGAAGGUUUUCGGAUCGUAAAGCUCGGUUGUAAGUCAAGAACGGGUGUGAGAGUGGAAAGUUCACACUGUGACGGUAGCUUACCAGAAAGGGACGGCUAACUACGUG
rnacentral:rRNA from 1 species